rnacentral:ribozyme from 1 species
AAAGAAGCGAUUCAAAGAUGAAAAAAAAGGAGAGAAAUUGACUUUUGCUUUUUUUAUUCGGGGUGCUAUUUCUACUCUCUCUCUCUCUCUCUCUCUACUUGUUCUU